rnacentral:misc_RNA from 1 species
GUUUUAUUAAUCCCAACCUCAUAGCUCCUAACGAUAAACUUCUCCUUAUAAGACAAGCCAUCCUCCGUCAAGCUCCCCAAGCGGAGGCGGUUGGUCAAGCUCUCACGGACAGAAUCGACACGGGUAGUCCCUCCCUCAGACACAACAGCCUGAACGACGGAGCUCUUAGAGACAGGGGAGCAUAAAACGACUACAUUGGGGCGGCAAGUGAAACGAGGCCUGUUAUGGUGAUGGGUAAGGAAUCUACAUUGAGAAGCUAGGGCUUGGAUUUGGUCCGCAGAAUUACAGGGC